CUUUGCUGCGAAUAAAGAUGCUCUUUGGGGCAACCUGGGCAUCCUGGUCUUGGCUGGAAGUUGGGCCUGAGCUGCAGUUUCAUGGAAGCUGCACCAGGGGGGCUGGGGGCUUGUUUGCACUCGUGUCGGGGAGGUGUGUAGAGACCCCCAAGCCAACUAUUGUGGGAAGGGAACUUGGGAUCUAAAUAGCAACUUCCAGGUACCUGAGAGGCAUGACCAGCCCAGGGCACCCUCGGACAUAGGGGGAGAUCUCUGGAUGUACAGGUCUCACUCCGACAAGCAGCUCUAAGACUCUGUAGCCCUGGUCUGUGCUGGCCUGUCCCUGGACAGCUGCCAGGGAGUCCAGCCCUCCCUUCAGGAGAACAGGGGCCGGCUGUGGCUUGACCUGGGAUCUCCUUACCCAGCUUCAUCUCUGUCACAAGCCCACAGAGGCCACAUUCUUGCCCCAUUUUGCAGAUGGGGAGACUGAGGCUCAGAGCAGGUGAUGUGAUGCCCAAGGUCAGGCAGCUGGGCUGGUGAAGAGCUCAAACUCCGAUAUCAGGCUGACCUUGGAUCCUGGCCUCACCGCCCCCCCACGCUGUUCACCCUGGACAGGUCCCUGCCCUGUUUUCUACAGAAGGCAGCUCCUCUGGCCCUUCCUCAAAUCAAGGCUUUGUGAUGGCAGGAGCGGGGAGGGACUGCUCUGGCCUCAGCUGGGGAAUCCCCUCCUCCCACCCUCCCAGGCAGCCUGGGGCAGCCCUCAGUUCCUCUUCCUCAAACUGAGCCCGGACACACACACACCCCCUCCCCCCGCACCUCCCUCCCCCACGCACCUCCCCCUCCCCUCCCCUCCCCCCUCCCGGCCUCCAGCUGCCCCAGCCCCACCCCCCGUGGAUACUUGCUAGGACCUGGGGCUCCUUGUUCCCUAUGACCUUCUCGCUCCCCACUGCUCCACGCUUAGCCCUGUCAACACAUCAGAAAGCAGACAGAGUGGUUUGAAGAGCGUCUCCCUUCCCACCCCUGAGCUGGGGGCAGAAUGCCAGCCCCUCCCGGUCCAGUCACAUACUCAGCGCCCCCAACAGGCUGAAGAGGGCCCCUUCCUCACAGCCCGUACUGGUGCCUGCCCUGUCCUGGGGAGCAACUGGCCAGGGCCUGACCCCAGCUGGGCCUUGCAUGGCCGAGUCAGCAGCGCGGUUUCCAGAGCAGCUGCCCUGGGGGUGUGGCAGUGAUUGGGACAGUGGGAGGGAGAGAGGGCCCCUCACCAUCACACUGACCCCUGUCUGGGGGACACCCCCAGACUCCCCUCAGCACCCACUGUGUGCCAGGCUGGGUGGGGGCAUGGCAGGGGAGAGGGGGUCACAGCAGCACUGCUGCCACCUGUGGGCAGAGGCCAUGGGCCUCCUUCCUGCCAGCGUGAGUCACAGGAGCCUCUGCCCUGGCAGAGCGUGGAGCCCGGGCCCCAGCGCCCCUCCUCCAGCAGCUGGCAUCGCCUCUGCACAGAGCUGGCGGGACCCCGGGGCACAGGUGUGGCCGGGGCAGGUGGAGUCUGCAUCAGAGUUGGGGCCAUCGGUAGGUCACAGCUGGUCCAAACUGUCCCUGCGUGGGUUGGGGGCACCGAGCAGGGGGACAGCAGAGCAGAGGAGCCCAGGGUUGGGGGGCAAGCCCCGCCCCUCCUGGAGCCUCGACCUCCACCUGAGAAAGGGGGAUAAAUGUAAGUGCCGCUGAGUCCCCGGUGCUCUGGGCCUGCAGGGGUCGCAGAGGGGCACAGACUAGCAGCACCUCGGCCCUUUCCUCUUACACAAGAAGCUGAGGGAGGAGGGAAGUUCUCUCUCCUCAGAAGGGGAAGCAGGUCCAGGAGGCCUUACAGGAACCGGGCAGCCUGAUGUCUUCCAUCCGCCGCCCUCAGGGGUGUGCGGGGGGGGGGGGCUCUCCCUCCCCCGAAGAUGAGUCACAGAGCAGAAGAGGUGACCUCCCUUCUCCUGCAGGCACGACUGUGGGCGGCCAUGCCCCACGCUCUGGUGGCAUCAGCGCCCCUCAACCACACGCUGGGCUAGUGGCUGGUUGGGGAGGGUCCUGGCUGGCUCGAGGGGCUCCGUAUCCCCCACUCUGGCCCUCCCAAACUGCCCACCACUUGCGGGCUUUCAAAAAUAACAAGUAAAACCGCAACCACUGGGGCUGCUGGGCGCUCCCCCCGCCGCCCCCGAGCUUCGCUGCUGCCGGCGGGUGAGUGCCGGGGUAGCUGGCCAGAGCAGAGGCUGAGCUAGGUCUUGGAGGGGCUGAGAGGGGUGCCAGGAUGGGGCCCCUCCCUGCUCACUUUAAACAGGCUUCCCUUCAGCUGGGCCAUCACAGCCAACUUCCCCUGAAGAGGCACGUCUGAGCUGCAGUAGGAAGCAGAGUGGGGAGAGGAAGACGUUGCAGGUCUCGGCACAGCCUGGGCAAAGGUGCAGAGGGCUGGUCGCAUCUCCUCAUGGCUCAUCCCAGUGAAAUCCCCAGAUCCUUGCCGAGUGAUCGCUCACUUCCUGUUUGAACGUGGUAGUCACAGCUGAGCCCUAGAUCAGCAGCCGGUGGUCACUGGGAACUUGCUGGGAAUGCAGAUUCCUGGGCCGCCCCAGCCCAUCUAGGACUCCAGCUAAACCUAAGAGGAGACACAGUGCUUGCUGUCCCCACACGGCACCGCAGAAGCACGGAGCCCCAGAUGCCCCGACUCCUGGGUGCUUAUCCCCCCAUCAGAGCUCAUGCAUCCUGGGCCCCCUUCCCCAGAAGCCAGUCAGAACGGAAACCACUGGACCAGGCUGCUGGUGUGCGCUGGAGGCAGAAGCUCCGCCCUGUGCCCCCGUCAGCCCAGGCACUCAUGGUGCCGAGAGCCAGGAACCUCGGCGCCAGCAAUGCCACGGGAGCCUGGUGUCUUCCACGGGGCCUCGCAGUUCCCUCGCCCACCUGCGCACCUGGCAUGCGAGACAAACACUCUCCUGGGCAAACGUGCCUCCCCCAGUUCCACGGGUCCUAAGGGUCUCCCUGUGAGGUGGGCGGUAUGUCGCCUGCCACCCAGGGUGAUGUGCUGGGUUAUGUGGCCUCGGACGACACGGCGCCUUCCCCAGCCCGAUUCUCAAAUGAGAACAAGAGUGAUCCUGCCUCGGCGGGCGGGGGUUGGGUUGCUGCUCAGACCACUGGUAAGGACUCCGGCGAGGCCAGUGGGCGGCGAGGCGCCCGGGGAAGCACCGGGAACCCCGCCUCGGGUUACAGUGGGGACGCAGGAGAUGUUCUUCCUGGAGACACACCAUCCUCCCAUUUGGCCUCCCUGCCCCGCUCCAACAGCCCUGCCCGGGGCCAGGUCUGUCACCUCUCCUGCUGGCCGGAGAAGGGCCCUCCUCACAGCAAUCCGCGUCUCCUCAGGCCCCUCCAGCGCAAGCCCAGACUGCAAAUGAGGCUUUCACGCCGUCGAGACCACCGCUCCCAGCGCCAGCCGCUCUGCACACCUGACGCCCCGCCCCGCCCACCAGGCCCCGCCCCGUCAGGCCCCCUCUCCCGCGAGACUCCGCCCACCCGGGUCGCCCAGGCCCUAGCGGCUCCCGGCACGUGGCCGCCCUGCCCACAGACUUGGGCGGGAGCCAAAACAACUCAGGAAAAGAGGCCUGUUUUU